AGCAUAUAACAUUUAUAUGAGACGGCUUAAAACAAUAAUCUUUGCCCUUGAUAUUAAGCUAGAUUAGUUUAACAUGUGAAAUGUCCGUAAAGUAUCAUCAUAUGAUUGGUUUUAGGGCACAUUUCCAACAAUCUCCCACUUGCACUAGAGCCAAUCAGCUUGGUCAUCAGUGAUGAUACCUCUUCUGUAGUCAUUUCAAAAAUGGCUGAGUAGUAGGCCUAGGCAAUGGAUAUCUAUAUGUUAUCCAUAGAAGCAACCUUGAGAAUAAUGACGUCACCAUUAUACAUGAUUCUUAAUCAUGUGGUUUAGUCUCUCAUUUGAGUUUGGAUCUUGAUGAGACCUUAAUUCCCUGGCUUGAGCUAUCGCCCCAUUAGUGUCGUAGUGUGACGCGUAAAAUAAGUUAACACACAAAUUUAACCCUCUUUUUGACAAUUGUAGUAUAGAUGUAAGUAGGGUAUCGUUCUAGGCCGGGGAUUAGG
rnacentral:lncRNA from 1 species